UGCGCAGGCGGUUAUAUAAGACAGAUGUGAAAUCCCCGGGCUCAACCUGGGAACUGCAUUAGUGACUGUAUAGCUAGAGUGCGGCAGAGGGGGAUGGAAUUCCGCGUGUAGCAGUGAAAUGCGUAGAUAUGCGGAGGAACACCGAUGGCGAAGGCAAUCCCCUGGGCCUGCACUGACGCUCAUGCACGAAAGCGUGGGGAGCAAACAGGAUUAGAUACCCUGGUAGUCCACGCCCUAAACGAUGUCAACUGGUUGUUGGGAAUUUACUUUCUCAGUAACGAAGCUAACGCGUGAAGUUGACCGCCUGGGGAGUACGGCCGCAAGGUUAAAACUCAAAGGAACUGACGGGGACCCGCACAAGCGGUGGAUGAUGUGGUUUAAUUCGAUGCAACGCGAAAAACCUUACCCACCUUUGACAUGUAUGGAAGAUCGCAGAGACGCGAUUGUGCUCGAAAGAGAGCCAUAACACAGGUGCUGCAUGGCUGGCGUCAGCUCGUGUCGUGAGAUGUUGGGUUAAGUCCCGCAGCGAGCGCAACCCUUGUCAUUAGUUGCUACAUUUAGUUGGGCACUCUAAUGAGACUGCCGGUGACAAACCGGAGGAAGGUGGGGAUGACGUCAAGUCCUCAUGGCCCUUAUAGGUGGGGCUACACACGUCAUACAAUGGCUGGUACAAAGGGUUGCCAACCCGCGAGGGGGAGCUAAUCCCAUAAAGCCAGUCGUAGUCCGGAUCGUAGUCUGCAACUCGACUACGUGAAGUCGGAAUCGCUAGUA
rnacentral:rRNA from 1 species